rnacentral:rRNA from 1 species
UACGUAGGGAGCAAGCGUUGUCCGGAAUCAUUGGGCGUAAAGCGCGCGUAGGCGGCUUCGUAAGUCCGUUGUGAAAGUCAAAGGCUCAACCUUUGAAAGCCGAUGGAUACUGUGAAGCUAGAGUACGGAAGAGGCGAGUGGAAUUCCUGGUGUAGCGGUGGAAUGCGCAGAUAUCAGGAGGAACACCAAUAGUGAAGGCAGCUCGCUGGGACGUUACUGACACUGAGGCGCGAAAGCGUGGGGAGCGAACAGG